UGGACUGGUCGAAAGACCAUGGUUCACCUGGUGGCGGGGAUAUACCCC
rnacentral:ncRNA from 1 species